rnacentral:rRNA from 1 species
CCUACGGGAGGCAGCAGUGAGGAAUAUUGGUCAAUGGGCGCUAGCCUGAACCAGCCAAGUCGCGUGAAGGAUGACUGCCCUACGGGUUGUAAACUUCUUUUAUAGGGGAAUAAAGUGCAGCAUGUAUACUGCUUUGCAUGUACCUUAUGAAUAAGGAUCGGCUAACUCCGUGCCAGCAGCCGCGGUAAUACGGAGGAUCCGAGCGUUAUCCGGAUUUAUUGGGUUUAAAGGGAGCGUAGGCGGGUUGUUAAGUCAGUUGUGAAAGUUUGCGGCGCAACCAUAGAAGUGCAGUUGAUACUGGCAGCCUUGAGUACAGUAGAGGUAGGCGGAAUUCGUGGUGUAGCGGUGAAAUGCUUAGAUAUCACGAAGAACUCCGAUGGCGAAGGCAGCUUGCUGGACUGUAACUGACGCUGAUGCGCGAAAGUGUGGGUAUCAAACAGGAUUAGAUACCCUUGUAGUC